rnacentral:rRNA from 1 species
UACGUAGGGGGGCUAGCGUUGUCCGGAAUCAUUGGGCGUAAAGAGCGUGUAGGCGGUCCGGUAAGUCCGCUGUGAAAGUCGGGGGGCUCAACCCUCGAAUGCCGGUGGAUACUGUCGGGCUAGAGUGCGGAAGAGGCGAGUGGAAUUCCUGGUGUAGCGGUGGAAUGCGCAGAUAUCAGGAGGAACACCAAUAGCGAAGGCAGCUCGCUGGGACGUUACUGACACUAAGGCGCGGAAAGCGUGGGGAGCGAACAGG